AUCCUGGCUCAGGAUGAACGCUGGCGGCGUGCCUAACACAUGCAAGUCGAGCGGCAGCGAGUUCCUCGCUAAUGUUCGGAUUUGUUUACCAAUGAUGCAAGUAAUUUAGUCAGAGUAACAAAGUAACGACUAGUUGUUUAAGUUAAAAGGUAGAUUUAAUAUUCCGGAUAUGAGCGAGGAAUGUCGGCGAGCGGCGGACGGCUGAGUAGCGCGUAGGAACAUACCCCAAAGUGAGGCAUAACCGCCCGAAAGGGUGGCUAAUACCGCAUAUUGUCUUCGGAUGAAAGCUUUUAGCGCUUUGGGAAUGGCCUGCGUUUGAUUAGCUAGUUGGUGAGGUAAGGGCUUACCAAGGCGAUGAUCAAUAGCUGGUUUGAGAGAAUGAUCAGCCAGACUGGAACUGAGACACGGUCCAGACUCCUACGGGAGGCAGCAGUUGGGAAUUUUCCACAAUGGGCGAAAGCCUGAUGGAGCAACGCCGCGUGCAGGAAGAAUGCCUUCGGGUUGUAAACUGCUUUUAUGUGCGAAGAAUAUGACGGUAGCAUAUGAAUAAGGGUCGGCUAACUACGUGCCAGCAGCCGCGGUCAAACGUAGGACCCAAGCGUUAUCCGGAAUUACUGGGCGUAAAGAGUUGCGUAGGUGGUCUAUUAAGUGGAGCGUGAAAGCGUGUGGCUUAACCAUACAGCUGCGUUUUAAACUGAUAAACUAGAGUGCGAAAGAGGUAGAUGGAAUUCCCAGUGUAGGAGUGAAAUCCGUAGAUAUUGGGAGGAACACCGAUGGCGUAGGCAGUCUACUGGUUCGUUACUGACACUAAGGCACGAAAGCGUGGGGAGCGAACGGGAUUAGAUACCCCGGUAGUCCACGCCGUAAACGAUGGAUGCUAGUUUUUACCCAUAUCGACCUGGGUAGAAACGAAGUUAACGCGUUAAGCAUCCCGCCUGGGGAGUACGAGCGCAAGCUUAAAACUCAAAGGAAUUGACGGGGACCCGCACAAGCGGUGGAGCGUGUUGUUUAAUUCGAAGAUAAGCGAAGAACCUUACCAAGGCUUGACUUCCUGCGAAGGUUUCCGAAAGGAAAUUGUGCCUUUUAGGAGCGCAGUGACAGGUGCUGCAUGGCCGUCGUCAGCUCGUGUCGUGAGAUGUAUGGUUAAGUCCAUUAACGAGCGCAACCCUUAUGAUUAGUUGGAUUUUUCUAAUCAGACUGCCCUGGCAACAGGGAGGAAGGAGGGGAUGAUGUCAGGUCAGUAUUGCCCUUACGUCUUGGGCGACAAACACGCUACAAUGGCCGGUACAAAGGGCAGCCAACUCGCGAGAGGGAGCAAACCCCAUCAAAGCCGGUCUCAGUUCGGAUUGCAGGCUGAAACUCGCCUGCAUGAAGUCGGAAUCGCUAGUAACGGUGGGUCAGCUAUACUACCGUGAAUACGUUCCCGGGUCUUGUACACACCGCCCGUCAAACCAUGAAAGUGACCAACACCCAAAGUCUGAGCUUUGACUCAGCCUAAGGUGGGGGGCAUGAUUGGGGUUAAGUCGUAACAAGGUAUCCGUACC
rnacentral:rRNA from 1 species